AUUGAACGCUGGCGGCAUGCCUUACACAUGCAAGUCGAACGGUAACAGGUCUUCGGAUGCUGACGAGUGGCGAACGGGUGAGUAAUACAUCGGAACGUGCCUAGUAGUGGGGGAUAACUACUCGAAAGAGUGGCUAAUACCGCAUGAGAUCUACGGAUGAAAGCAGGGGAUCGCAAGACCUGGUGCUACUAGAGCGGGCGAUGGCAGAUUAGGUAGUGGGUGGGAUAAAAGCUUACCAAGCCGACGAUCUGUAGCUGGUCUGAGAGGACGAUCAGCCACACUGGGACUGAGACACGGCCCAGACUCCUACGGGAGGCAGCAGUGGGGAAUUUUGGACAAUGGGCGCAAGCCUGAUCCAGCAAUGCCGCGUGCAGGAUGAAGGCCUUCGGGUUGUAAACUGCUUUUGUACGGAACGAAAAGCCCUGGGUUAAUACCCUGGGGUCAUGACGGUACCGUAAGAAUAAGCACCGGCUAACUACGUGCCAGCCGCCGCCGUAAGAC
rnacentral:rRNA from 1 species